rnacentral:rRNA from 1 species
UACAGAGGUCUCAACCGUUGUUCGGAUUCAUUGGGCGUAAAGGGUGCGUAGGCGGUCGGGUAAGUCGGAUGUGAAAUCUCAGGGCUCAACCCUGAAACUGCAUUCGAUACUGCCUGGCUAGGGUACUGGAGAGGAGACUGGAAUUUACGGUGUAGCAGUGAAAUGCGUAGAUAUCGUAAGGAAGACCAGUGGCGAAGGCGGGUCUCUGGACAGUUCCUGACGCUGAGGCACGAAGGCCAGGGGAGCAAACGGG